rnacentral:rRNA from 1 species
UAGAAGUCCUGACGCUGGCUCAGAGUCGAACGCUGGCGGUAGGCCUAACAACAUGCAAGUCGCUCGCUGUAGCAAUACGGAGUGGCAGACGGGUGAGUAACACGUGGCGAACAUGCCCUUUGGUUCGGAAAUAACUUGGGUGAAACUUAAGCUAAUACCGGAUAAGGUCCGCGAGGAGAAAGAUUUAUCGCCGAAGGAUUGGCCCGCGUCUGAUUAGCUAGUUGGUGAGGGCACGGCUCACCAAGGCGACGAUCAGUAGCUGGUCUGAGAGGAUGAUCAGCCACAUUGGGACUGAGACACGGCCCAAACUCCUACGGUGAGGCAGCAGUGGGGAAUAUUGGACAAUGGGCGCAAGCCUGAUCCAGCCAUGCCGCUAGAGUGAUGAAGGCCUUAGGGUUGUAAAGCUCUUAGUACCUGGGAAGAUAAUGACGGUACCAGGAGAAUAAGCCCCGGCUAACUUCGUGCAGCAGCCGCGACAAUACGAAGGUGGCUAGCGUUGUUCGGAUUUACUGGGCGUAAAGCGCACGUAGCCGGAUCUUUAAGUCAGGGGUGAAUAUCCCAAGUAUCAACCUUGGAACUGCCUUUGAUACUGGGGAUCUCGAGUUCGGGAGAGCGUGAGUGGAACUGCGAGUGUAGAGGUGAAAUUCGUAGAUAUUCGCAAGAACACCAGUGGCGAAUCGGCGGCUCACUGGCCCGAUACUGACGCUGAGGUGCGAAAGCGUGGCGGAGCAAACAGGAUUAGAUACCCUGGUAGUCCAACGCCGUAAACGAUGAAUGCUAGCCGUUAGGCAGCUUGCUGCUCAGUGGCGCAGUUAACGCUUUAAGCAUCCCGCCUGGGGAGUACGGUCGCAAGAUUAAAACUCAAGGGAAUUGACGGGCGGCCCGCACAAGCGGUGGAGCAUGUGGUUUAAUACGAAGCAACGCGCAGAACCUUAACUCGCUUGUGACAUGUCCGGUUUGGUUACCAGAGAUGGUUUCCUUCAGUUAGGCUGGCACGGAACACAGGUGCUAUAUGGCUGUCCGCAGCUCGUCUCGUGAGAUGUUGGGUUACACAUCCCGCAACGAGCGCAACCUGAUUGCCUUAGUUGCCAUCAUUAAGUUGGGCACUCUAGAUUGGGUUGCCGCGUGAUAAGCCGAGAGGAACAUGGGGAUGACGUCAAGUCCUCAUGGCCCUUACAGCGCUGGGCUACACACGUGCUAACAAUGGCGGUGACAAUGGGAUGCAAAGGGGCGACCCCUCGCAAAUCUCAAAAAGCCGUCUCAGUUCGGAUACUACUCUUGCAACUCGAGUGCAACUCGGUGGAAUCGCUAGUAAUUGUAGAUCAGAAUCGCUACGGUGAAUACGUUCCCGGGCCUUGUACACACCGCCCGUCACACCAUGGGAGUUGGUUCUACCCGAAGGCGUUUUGCUAACCGCAAGGAGGCAGGCGACCACCGUAUGGUCAGCGACUGGCGGUGAUCUCGUGAUCAAGUGCAACCGAAG